rnacentral:tRNA from 1 species
UUGAUUUCUGUGGGGCAGGUUCAAGUCCUGUCUUCUUAGGUGAGAAGGA